CUGGAGGUAGAAGGUCUCAGGCUGUGACCCUCUAGAGGGAAGCGCUUUCUGUGGUCUGAAAGAAAAGAAAGUGCUUCCUUUUAGAGGGUUACUGUUUGAGAAAAGCCACAUUGCACUUG
ensembl:miRNA